UGGCCCGUAGCUCAGUGGUAGAGCGGUCGGCUGUUAACCGAUUGGUCGCUGGUUCGAGUCCGGCCGGGCCAG
rnacentral:tRNA from 1 species